ACAAAGGGCUCCUGUUGUGAGCAGAAUAUCUAGAGCAGCUCAAUUGCUCUGUGUGUGGAAUAGACAUCAAGAGAUUUCAGAAGCUAACUUUUUCUGCAUGGAAUUCUGGUGAUCAUUGGUCCUGGCAUGUAC